AUCAAGGAAAAGGAGCUGGUAUCAGGCUCAACUUUAAGCCCACGACACCUAGCCACGCCACGCCCGCAAGGGUAUUCAGCAGUGAUAAACCUUGUUUAUAAGCGCAAGCUCGAAUCAGUUACGGCAAAGAGGGCCGGCAAAUCCGGUGCCAGCCGCCGCGGCUACACCGUUAGGCCCAAGUUGACACACGCCGGCGUUAAGCGUGAUUAGAGUGAUUACACUGAUUAGAGUUAAACCCAAACUUAGUCGUGAUACACUUGUUCCCGGGAAACCCAAAAACGAAAGUUACUCUAACCAAUCCACUUGACCCCACGACAGCUAGGACACAAACUGGGAUUAGGUACCCCACUAUGCCUAGCCGUAAAAUAUAUACUCACCCAACAAAUCGCCAGGGAAUUACGAGCCCAAGCUUAAAACCCAAAGGACUUGACGGUGUCCCACCCACCUAGAGGAGCCUGUUCUAUAAUCGAUUCCCCCCGAUAAACCUCACCACUUCUGGCCAACUCAGCCUGUAUACCUCCGUCGUAAGCUUACCAUGUGAACGAAACCAGUGAGCCAAAAGAUCCAACAUCAAUACGUCAGGUCAAGGUGCAGCUAACGAACUGGGAAGAAAUGGGCUACAAUUUCUACCAUAGAACAAACGAAAGGCUACAUGAAACAUAGUCACUGAAGGCGGAUUUAGCAGUAAAAAGAAAA
rnacentral:rRNA from 1 species